rnacentral:rRNA from 1 species
AUUGAACGCUGGCGGAAUGCUUUACACAUGCAAGUCGAGCGGCAGCGCGGGGGCAACCCUGGCGGCGAGCGGCGAACGGGUGAGUAAUACAUCGGAACGUGUCCUUGAGUGGGGGAGUAGCCUCGGCGGAAAGCCGGAUUAAUACCGCAUAAGCUCUGAGGGAGGAAAAGGCGGGGGGACUGGUAACGGCCUCGCGCUGUUGGAG